AGCUCCAAUAGCGUAUAUUAAAGUUGCUGCAGUUAAAAAGCUCGUAGUUGGAUUUCUGGCUUGGUUUCCCUGGCCCGCCACGGUUACGUGUGUGAGUGCCGGUGGAAAUCUGCCAUCAUUCUAGGUUGCAUUCAUACUCUUAACUGAGCCGUGAGUGCGAUCUAGAUCUUUUACUUUGAAAAAAUUAGAGUGUUUCAAGCAGGCGUUUGCUAUGAAUACAUUAGCAUGGAAUAAUAAUUUAGGACUUCGGUUCUAUUUUGUUGGUUUCUAGAAUGGAAGUAAUGAUUGAUAGGGAUAGUUGGGGGUGCUAGUAUUCAGUGGCCAGAGGUGAAAUUCUCGGAUUCACUGAAGACUAACUUAUGCGAAAGCAUUCACCAAGGAUGUCUUCU
rnacentral:rRNA from 1 species